ACAGGGGAGAAUAACGCAUGUGACCUGUGCGUGGUAGGGGGGGAUCUCUUGUGAACACUAUCUCUUACACCGCAUGAUUUUCUAUUGCAUGUGAUACUUGAUUGAAGGGCGCUUGUGUCUCUCCCCCAUAGGCCUGUGUUGUGUUUUAUCUAUGGGGGGGGGACGCGUCUCCCCGGGGACAAUAUAUAUACCACAUCUGAGGGGGAGCUCGCCCACUGUGACUGAGACACGCGCCCCACACUCCUACGAGGGGCCACGGUGGAAUCUCCUCCAAUGUGCGGAGAACCGAGACAGAGCGCCCCGCGAGUGAGAAGAGUUUUUUCAUCUCAAAGCUCUCUGGUGUAAGAAAAAAAAGUGUGAGAGAGUGAAAAGUUCACUGUGAGACUAUCUCUUACCAGAGGGACGGCUAUAUACUACGUGCCAGCCGCGCGGUACACAUGUGUCGAGAGUGUUCUGCAUAUAUUGUGCGUAUAGAGAGAGCGCGCGCUGAUAUAUACUGAGAUGAUAGACUCUGUGUCAUCCAUAUACGCGCUGUAACUGUGUAUCUCGUGUGUACAGAGGAGAGAGUAUACUAUGUGUGUAGCUGAGAGUGUAUAGAUAUGUAGAGCACAGCUGUCGCGAGCGCCUCUCUGUGUGUGCAGUGACU
rnacentral:rRNA from 1 species